rnacentral:rRNA from 1 species
GAUGAACGCUAGCGGCAGGCCUAAUACAUGCCAGUCGAACGAGAUUAAGAGGCUUGCUUCUUAUGAAAGUGGCGCACGGGUGCGUAACGCGUAUGCAACCUACCUUAAUCAGGGGGAUAGCCCGAAGAAAUUCGGAUUAAGACCGCAUAAAAACACAGGAUAGCAUUAUCCAAUGUUCAAAUAUUUAUAGGAUUAAGAUGGGCAUGCGUGUCAUUAGCUAGUUGGCGGGGUAACGGCCCACCAAGGCGACGAUGACUAGGGGAUCUGAGAGGAUGACCCCCCGCACUGGUACUGAGACACGGACCAGACUCCUACGGGAGGCAGCAGUAAGGAAUAUUGGUCAAUGGAGGGAACUCUGAACCAGCCAUGCCGCGUGCAGGAAGACAGCCCUCUGGGUCGUAAACUGCUUUUAGUCGGGAAUAAACCUUUCUACGUGUAGGAAGCUGAAUGUACCGAAGGAAUAAGGAGCGGCUAACUCCGUG